UCCAGUUACCUUAUUACAUGGUGUUUUAUGAGAAGACUGUAAUUAUGAGAUUAGUUUAUGCACUAAAACAUGGGAGACAAAUGAGCAAGGGGAAAUAAAGCAUUGUUAUAUUAGUUAUGAAUAGCAGCUAGUGAUACCGUUAGCUAUAACACUUGUGUUAUUAUAUAAUGGAGUUGCUAUAACACAGCUUUAACUGUAAGUCUCAGUUUUUAAACUCAAUAAAUGCCUUUUUUCCCUCAGGCAACAUCUAAUGCAGGUUUUCUGGUUGGUCUUACCAGCAAUCACCAAGAGAUCAUUGAGUGGCUUUGGCUCUAGGAUCAUGGAGUUCUCCACUGGAUUUUCAGCAUUUGACCAACAGAAAGAGAAAGGAACACUCAUGAGAAGUUUUCCUAAACCAAGACUUCUUCCCACAUUUCAUUGGUCAGUUUCAGAUCCAGUGAUCUUGAUUCUGAAGAAUUGUCGGUGUAUGAAAUCAACUCUCUCAUCAGCUGAGAACGGAGGCUACAGGGAGGCGCCUUUAUCUCGCAGAAAAGAUGCAGCACAAACAACCUGCCAGCCCUCGCGUGAAUUCGUUAACGGAAACACUGGUUGUGACCUGCAGUCAACUUUGGAAACUAAUUUAAAACUCACCUUGAUCAGCGUUCCUUAA
rnacentral:lncRNA from 1 species